rnacentral:misc_RNA from 1 species
CAUGCUUUAACUUUAUCACAAGUAAUGAUUAUAAGAAAUUAUAUCUUACAAGCCUUUUAAGCACCAAGGAAAAAAAUAUCUUAGAGCAAUUUCAUUUGACUAGGUUAAAAAUGUUGCAUAAUCCUUGCAUUAUCAGAUAACCUUUUGCUCUGGUUUCGUGAAACAACCAUCAAUCAGUGGAUAGCCACAAUUUUCAAGAGCCAAAAGACUUGCUCCUCCAGCAUAUCUCCAUUGUGAUACUCCCCGAGGCCUUAGGGACUUUGGCAUUAAAGUUCAAGGGCAAUACCCCUUUGCAUAAUCAUUCAGUCCCUCUCAUCAGCGAAAUAUCUUUGGGUGUCAAAAGGCUGGUUCCGGAAAUUUGGAUUAGGUAACUCAGAAGGUAUUCCCCUAUUCAUUGGAGCAAAUGCUUUCUCUGCCAUUCUUUUCUCUCUAUCAUAUUCAAAUUUGUCCCGAAUUUGAUUGACCUUUUCCCAUGUAUCACCUUGCUUAUUUCUCCCAAAACCUUGAUCCUUCAUUUCCUCAAAUCGCUUGCUCCUAUAUGGAUUAAAAUCUUUAUCAUCAUCCUCAGCAGAUUCGUAGUUGGCAUGAUCUUGGGCAAUUUUUUUAGAGUAGCCCUCAUCCCAAUACAGCCUUUCCCAAUUUUCUCGGAGUUCCUGAUAUAGUUCCAUAUAUCUUUUGCACCAAGGCUCAUGCUCCGAUUCCUUGAGAACGAGGCGAGUACGGCGCAUGAACUGCUCUCUGAGCUGCUUACGGCGCCUGUUGGGGACGUUGUCUCUGGGAAUAACAAAGCGCUCGCGUGGAGGCACGUGAUCUCCGAUCUCGUGCAUCUCGCCGUCCACUAUCCACCACUCAGACUUCUGGUCGGUCUUUUUCGCUGUAAAGGCUGGCGACUUGGAGCGGCGUCUAUUUGCACCGGCAUCGGUUCUGGCGUACCUAAGCUGGUAGGCCGCGAACUGCAGGCGAGGGCUUAAACUCUUGAAUUGUUUUACAGGGGAAAACAUGGGAACCGUCGAAAAGAAGUUGCAGCGGCCACUUGCUAGGCCGCUUUGGAGUCCGUGGAUAUAAACCCCACCUCCAUGGGUUUUUGCGGUGUG